rnacentral:rRNA from 1 species
AUUGAACGCUGGCGGCAGGCCUAACACAUGCAAGUCGAACGGAGUGGCGGACGGGUGAGUAAUGUCUGGGAAACUGCCUGAUGGAGGGGGAUAACUACUGGAAACGGUAGCUAAUACCGCAUACUAUCAGAUGAGCCUAGGUCGGAUUAGCUAGUUGGUGGGGUAAAGGCCUACCAAGGCGACGAUCCGUAACUGGUCUGAGAGGAUGAUCAGUCACACUGGAACUGAGACACGGUCCAGACUCCUACGGGAGGCAGCAGUGGGGAAUAUUGGACAAUGGGCGAAAGCCGGAUCCAGCCAUGCCGCGUGUGUGAAGAAGGUCUUCGGAUUGUAAAGCACUUUAAGUUGGGAGGCGUUACCCGCAGAAGAAGCACCGGCUAACUCCGUGCCAGCCGCCGCGGUAAUUC